rnacentral:rRNA from 1 species
UGGAAACUGUNUGACUUGAGUGCAGAAGGGGAGAGUGGAAUUCCAUGUGUAGCGGUGAAAUGCGUAGAUAUAUGGAGGAACACCAGUGGCGAAAGCGGCUCUCUGGUCUGUCACUGACGCUGAGGCUCGAAAGCGUGGGUAGCGAACAGGAUUAGAUACCCUGGUAGUNCACGCCGUAAACGAUGAGUGCUAGGUGUUAGGCCCUUUCCGGGGCUUAGCGCCGGAGCUAACGCAAUAAGCACUCCGCCUGGGGAGUACGACCGCAAGGUUGAAACUCAAAGGAAUUGACGGGGGCCCGCACAAGCGGUGGAGCACGUGGUUUAAUUCGAAGCAACGCGAAGAACCUUACCAGGUCUUGACAUCCCGAUGCUAUUCUUAGAGAUAGGAAGUUACUUCGGUACAUCGGAGACAGGUGGUGCAUGGUUGUCGUCAGCUCGUGUCGUGAGAUGUUGGGUUAAGUCCCGCAACGAGCGCAACCCUUAUUGUUAGUUGCCAUCAUUAAGUUGGGCACUCUAGCGAGACUGCCGGUAAUAAACCGGAGGAAGGUGGGGAUGACGUCAAAUCAUCAUGCCCCUUAUGACCUGGGCUACACACGUGCUACAAUGGUCGGUACAACGAGUUGCGAGCCGGUGACGGCAAGCUAAUCUCUGAAAGCCGAUCUCAGUUCGGAUUGGAGGCUGCAACUCGCCUCCAUGAAGUCGGAAUCGCUAGUAAUCGCGGAUCAGCACGCCGCGGUGAAUACGUUCCCGGGCCUUGUACACACCGCCCGUCACACCACGAGAGUUUGUAACACCCGAAGUCGGUGAGGUAACCUUUUAGGGGCCAGCCGCCUAAGGUGGGANGGAU